rnacentral:rRNA from 1 species
ACCGCGGUCAUACGAUUAACCCAAACUAAUUAUUUUCGGCGUAAAACGUGCCAACUAUAAAUCUCAUAAUAGAAUUAAAAUCCAACUUAUAUGUGAAAAUUCAUUGUUAGGACCUAAGCCCAAUAACGAAAGUAAUUCUAAUCAUUUAUAUAAUGCACGAUAGCUAAGACCCAAACUGGGAUUAGAUACCCCACUAUGCUUAGCCCUAAACCUUAAUAAUUAAACCUACAAAAUUAUUUGCCAGAGAACUACUAGCUACAGCUUAAAACUCAAAGGACUUGGCGGUACUUUAUAUCCAUCUAGAGGAGCCUGUUCUAUAAUCGAUAAACCCCGUUCUACCUUACCCCUUCUCGCUAAUUCAGCCUAUAUACCGCCAUCUUCAGCAAACCCUAAAAAGGCACUAAAGUAAGCACAAGAACAAACAUAAAAACGUUAGGUCAAGGUGUAGCCAAUGAAGCGGGAAGAAAUGGGCUACAUUUUCUUUUCCCAGA